UUCUCCAUAGCUCAGUGGUUAGAGCGUCCAACCGGCACCUGGAAGGUCAUGGGUUCGAUUCCCGUUGGGGAGCUAA
rnacentral:tRNA from 1 species